AGAGUUUGAUCAUGGCUCAGGAUGAACGCUAGCUACAGGCUUAACACAUGCAAGUCGAGGGGAAACGACAUCGAAAGCUUGCUUUUGAUUGGGCGUCGACCGGCACACGGGUGAGUAACGCGUAUCCAACCUGCCCAUCACUUGGGGAUAACCUUGCGAAAGUAAGACUAAUACCCAAUGACGUCUCUAGAAGACAUCUGAAAGAGAUUAAAGAUUUAUCGGUGAUGGAUGGGGAUGCGUCUGAUUAGCUUGUUGGCGGGGUAACGGCCACCAAGGCGACGAUCAGUAGGGGUUCUGAGAGGAGGUCCCCCACAUUGGAACUGAGACACGGUCCAAACUCCUACGGGAGGCA
rnacentral:rRNA from 1 species